rnacentral:lncRNA from 1 species
CUAAAAAAAUCCCUUUUGUUCAUUAUUCAAUGACCUGAAAGUGUCUCAUUUCAUCUCAACAUCAACCCUGAACCAACAAGCAGUCAGCCUUCUUCAAGCCCACCCCUAGCAGAGGAAAACAAUGAACGAUGCUGCCAGGGACAGAUGGGCUACAGCAGUUCAGCAAAGGAAAGAACCGGGAGAAUUUGGGUACCAGAAGCAUUGGCAUCAAGAAAUAAAAAGAACAUAUUCUGCUAGUCAUCUGAAACUAAAAGGGGAAAUUGAAGAAAGAACGUGUCAUUUGUUGGAAUUUCCUCCAAUCCUGGAACAGAUCUUAAGGAGAGCUCGCCAUCUUGGAAGACUUCUACCAACAAUAAAUGAUGCUCUAGGGUCAUUGACCUUGACAGGGGAAAAGGCAACUGAGAUCUCUGCCCUGCAACCAUGGAUGAGAAAACCCAACAUAUGCAUGCCUCUGUACGGUAUCGUCGAGUACCAUUACAACACCAUUUAUUUCCAUCCGUGCUCAACCCUUCAAUGAAUGACCUUCAAGCAACAAACUCUGUUUAAUUAGCUCCCCACAAAUAUCCUGGGGAGUUGAAAUUGCUUGAGUUAUUAAUUAAAGGGAAAACAAUGAGAAGGAGAGA